GUGAGGAAUAUUGGACAAUGGAGGCAACUCUGAUCCAGCCAUGCCGCGUGAAGGACUAAGGCCCUAUGGGUCGUAAACUUCUUUUGACGCAGAGCAAUAAGGAUUACGUGUAGUCUGAUGAGAGUAUGCGUCGAAUAAGCAUCGGCUAACUCCGUGCCAGCAGCCGCGGUAAUACGGAGGAUGCAAGCGUUAUCCGGAUUUAUUGGGUUUAAAGGGUGCGUAGGCGGAUGGGUAAGUCAGCGGUGAAAUGUCCCGGCUCAACCGGGGAACUGCCAUUGAUACUGCCUGUCUUGAAUGCGGAUGCCGUGGGAGGAAUGUGUAGUGUAGCGGUGAAAUGCAUAGAUAUUACACAGAACACCGAUUGCGAAGGCAUCUCACGAAUCCGUUAUUGACGCUGAGGCACGAAAGCGUGGGGAUCAAACAGGAUUAGAAACCCUUGUAGUCC
rnacentral:rRNA from 1 species